rnacentral:misc_RNA from 1 species
GUGCUCAGCUAGAAAGUGACAGCAAUUGUUAGAAAAAAUAUGACAAAUUCAUGAACGGCUGAUCGUGUUAAUUUGUUAAUUGCUUCAAAAAUCUUGGAUUUAACUUGUAAUUGGCUAAAAAAUAGCUGUAAUAAGUUAAUUCAUUUAAUCAGCGGCUAACAGUCCUGAAAGAUGCCGCAAGCUCGGCGUAAAACCCCCUUCAGUGGGAAAGCUAAGAAGCAACAGCUGCAGAGUAAAAAGCAAAAUAAGACACUGUUGAUGUCCACAUCAGGCGGCACAACAGCAUAUGAUGUAGUCUCAGUGAAUUACCAACCGAACAAGCGAGGCGGACGCGAUACCAACAGAUACGCUCUCAAGUUCUACCGGGAGAACGAUGAUGAGCUGAGGCUUAAGAAGGAAGACGCACUAAAAGAGCUUCGGCCAGUGUUAGAGAAAGAUCUAGAAGUGGACCCUGCGGACUACUUUCCUACCGAGUUGUCAUUCCCCAAGAGACCACCAUGGGACUUCAACAUGAGUCCCGCACAGUUAGACGCACAGGAACAGAGGUAUUUCAAGAAUUACGUCGACACACUCCAAGCUUCUGAACACUGGAAGGACAUGUCUUACUUCGAGCUGAACUUGGAGACCUGGAGACAGCUGUGGAGAGUUCUAGAAAUGUGCGAUAUACUGCUACUUAUUGUGGAUGUUAGAUACGCUGGCAUGAUGUUCCCCCCCUCUCUGUACUCGUACAUCCAAGAACAGAACAAGCACAUGAUCCUCGUGCUGAACAAGAUAGAUCUAGUUCCUCCAUCGGUGGCGGCGGCAUGGAAGCAAUACUUGACAGAAACGUGUCCCGCGCUCACCGUGCUGUACUUUACUUCCUGUGUCGCUUACAAUCUUACUGGGAAUACCGCUGAUAAAGCAGGCCUACAAAUCCGCCGUCGUAAAGGCAAACAGCGCAUGUGUGUAGAAGGUGCCACUAAGAUCUUAGAAGCCUGCAAGGAGAUCGUGAAGGGAGAAGUAGACCUGUCUUCUUGGGAGAAGAAGAUUAAAGAAGAGACUGAUGUGGAGUUCGAUUAUGAUGAGGCUGCUACAGUUGGUGAAACAAUCCUAGAGAAACCCGACACUUCCUACUACAGUCACGAGCGGUACAAGUCGGGCGUCCUGUCAAUCGGUUGUGUCGGCCAGCCCAAUGUCGGCAAGUCGUCGCUGCUGAACGCUCUGAUGGGCCGCAGUGUCGUGUCGGUGUCCAAGACUCCCGGACACACUAAACACUUCCAGACUAUAUAUUUGACGCCACAGGUACGUCUGUGCGACUGUCCCGGUCUGGUGUUCCCGUCUAAAGUGCCCCGGCCCAUACAGAUUCUGAUGGGGUCUUAUCCUAUCGCGCAGCUAAGGGAGCCAUACACCGCUAUUAGAUAUAUAGCAGAACGGCUGGACUUACCCAAGUUGCUGCGUAUAGAGCACCCGGAAGGAGACGACAGCUGGUCGCCUCGGGACAUCUGCGACGGAUGGGCUAAGAAGCGCAGUUAUUUCACUGCUAAAGCGGCCAGGUUAGACACAUAUAGAGCAGCUAACAGUCUAUUAAGAAUGGCGUUGGACGGCAGGAUUUGUCUAUGGUUGAGGCCGCCCGGAUUCGCUGAAAAUAGAGAAAAAUACGAAAACUGCGAAGAAAUUAAAUACAUCAAAUGGGUCCGAGCUAUCACCGAUGACACCACACUCAAGUCAGACGAUCUGAACACGUCAGAGUCAGACGGGGACAGACAUUCUGAUAGUUCUGACGCGGAUGAUGAUAGCAGUGACGAUGAUGAGACCGCCGCUAUUGCGAAUAAAUUCGCGGCUUUGGCGGGUGAUGACUGAAAAAAUGAUGAUGAUGAUGAUGUAAAAAUGAUGAAAUUUUGUCAUUAACGUGAAGACGUUUGUUUGUUGUACGAUUUUAAUACGUAUUUUUUUGUGUUUAAUAAUUAUACUUAUGAAAAAAUAAAAAUUAAAUCUGAAAAUGUUGAUUUAAGUCAAUAGUUAAAACAUUUUCGGCCUUAAUGUAUCAAAAUUAAGGUCUGUUUUUUCAAUAUUAAAAGCCAAUAUCAGCCAAAUUUUCAACAAAUUACUAGUUACAAAAGUCAAACAGAUGCUAGAUAUUAUUUUUUAAUAAUGUAGGUUACACUUGAUCAUAUUCAUUUGGUAACAAAAACAGUGAAAGAUUUUUUUUUAAAUCGAUUCAUUAGUUUCGGAGCCAAACAAUGCAAUGUUUCACAAUGAUAUAUUUUAAAUUAAUAUUUAAUUUAAGACAAUAAUUAUAGUUUUUAAUGCAGCUUAUUAAUAUUAUUAUGUCGUUGUUAAUAUAGCAGCUAAUGCUAUUUGUAUCCUAUACUAGUUUAUCACGCGGUUGCACUCGCGUUUUUUCUCCUAAAUCAGCCAGUAUAAGUUUCAGACAGAAAUUUCUGUAUUUUUAUGCUGGUAUUUUUCAUUCCUUUAACACCUGCUAUACUUUAUUUUAGUAUUUGUUAUGAAUACUGACUGUUUUAUUUGUCCGGGUUACUGGGUUGAGGAGGUCAGACAGGCAGUCGCUCCUUGUGGCACACUGGUACUCAGCUGCAUCCGGUUAGACUGGAAGCCGACCCCAACAUAGUUGGGAAAAGGCUCGGGAGAUGCUAUGAUGAGUGCCGCAUACAAAUGUUUCUUUCUCAAAUGAUUUUAAUGGAGUCUCGUCUCUAUGUUAGUUUUACUCUAUUUUAAUAUUUCAUUGUAAUAAAUAGACAAUAUUUCCACCUUUUUUGUGAACAAAAUUUC